rnacentral:rRNA from 1 species
ACGCUCGACACCUACGGGAAGCAGCAGUCGGGAAUAUUGCGCAAUGGAGGGAACUCUGACGCAGUGACGCCGCGUAUAGGAAGAAGGUUUUCGGAUUGUAAACUAUUUUAGACAGGGAAGAAUAAAGACAGUACCUGUAGAAUAAGCUCCGGCUAACUACGUGCCAGCAGCCGCGGUAAUCUGAGCGGGCUGGCAAGGC